GUUGGUUUUGUGUAAAGCCAAAAACCUCAAUUUUCAGGUAUCUCAGUGGUUCAUUUCAAGAAGGCAUCUAAUGAACGAUGUCAAGAAAUAUCCCCCUUCAUAAAUACGCUCUGCAUUCGAUACCCAGAUGUUAAAUUCAUCAAGGUGGAUUUGGAAGACUGUACAAGUGUAGGAAAAGCUGAGAGCAUAAGAACUGUGCCGACCUUCAGAAUAUAUGCAAAUGGAGAGAAGGUGAUGGAGAUGAUAAGGCCGAGUCAUCAGUUAUUGGAGGACUCUGUGAGGAACUGUUGUAAUCUCUAGCUUCCAUAAUGUAUACCCUUUAAUUUUUUUGCAGUCAUAUGUAGGCGGACUGGCCAAACCCUGCCCUCUUCAGUUCAGAAAGAUCAGGAGGGUCAGUUUUUGCCCUGGUACACAAAGUGCACAUAAAUUUUUCAGAGCUCUAGGCAGAUAAACCUCAGGGAAAAAUCAGCGUCUUGUUAAUUAGGUUUUCAAUCAUAAAUGUAUAUCUUGUUUCUUCCUUUU